rnacentral:rRNA from 1 species
GACAGCAGUCGCCGCGGGAACACGUAGGGUGCGAGCGUUAAUCGGAAUGACUGGGCGUAAAGGGCGCGUAGGCGGCGAUCAAAGUCAGGCGUGAAAUUCCUGGGCUCAACCUGGGGGCUGCGCUUGAUACUUGGUUGCUUGAGUGGGGAAGAGGGUCGUGGAAUUCCCAGUGUAGAGGUGAAAUUCGUAGAUAUUGGGGAGAACACCGGUGGCGAAGGCGGCGACCUGGUCCUUGACUGACGCUGAGGCGCGAAAGCGUGGGGAGCAAACAGGAUUAGAUACCCGUGUAGUCCCUGUCUCUUAUAC